GAUGAACGCUGGCGGCGUGCCUAAUACAUGCAAGUCGAGCGAACGGACGAGAAGCUUGCUUCUCUGAUGUUAGCGGCGGACGGGUGAGUAAAACGUGGAUAACCUACCUAUAAGACUGGGAUAAAUUCGGGAAACCGUAGCUAAUACCGGAUAAUAUUUUGAACCGCAUGGUUCAAAAGUGAAAGACGGUCUUGCUGUCACUUAUAGAUGGAUCCGCGCUGCAUUAGCUAGUUGGUAAGGUAACGGCUUACCAAGGCAACGAUGCAUAGCCGACCUGAGAGGGUGAUCGGCCACACUGGAACUGAGACACGGUCCAGACUCCUACGGGAGGCAGCAGUAGGGAAUCUUCCGCAAUGGGCGAAAGCCUGACGGAGCAACGCCGCGUGAGUGAUGAAGGUCUUCGGAUCGUAAAACUCUGUUACUAGGGAAGAACAUAUGUGUAAGUAACUGUGCACAUCUUGACGGUACCUAAUCAGAAAGCCACGGCUAACUACGUG
rnacentral:rRNA from 1 species